rnacentral:rRNA from 1 species
GCCCAGACUCCUACGGGGGGCAGCAGUGAGGAAUAUUGGUCAAUGGGCUUACGCCUGAACCAGCCAAGUCGCGUGAGGGAAGACUGCCCUAUGGGUUGUAAACCUCUUUUGUCAGGGAGCAACGCCGGCUACGUGUAGCCGGACUGAGAGUACCUGAAGAAAAAGCAUCGGCUAACUACGUGCCAGCAGCCGCGGUAAUACGUAGGUGGCAAGCGUUGUCCGGAUUUACUGGGUGUAAAGGGCGUGUAGCCGGGUUGACAAGUCAGAUGUGAAAUCCUGCGGCUUAACCGCAGAACUGCAUUUGAAACUGUUGAUCUUGAGUACUGGAGAGGCAGACGGAAUUCCUAGUGUAGCGGUGAAAUGCGUAGAUAUUAGGAGGAACACCAGUGGCGAAGGCGGUCUGCUGGACAGCAACUGACGGCGAGGCGCGAAAGCGUGGGGAGCAAACAGGAUUAGAUACCCGCGUA